UACGUAGGUGGCAAGCGUUUGUCCGGAUUUACUGGGCGUAAAGAGCGCGCAGGCGGUCGUCCAAGUCGCGUGUGAAAGCCCCCGGCUCAACUGGGGAGGGUCACGCGAUACUGGUCGACUCGAAGGCAGGAGAGGGUAGUGGAAUUCCGGGUGUAGUGGUGAAAUGCGUAGAUAUCCGGAGGAACACCAGUGGCGAAGGCGACUUUCUGGCCUGUUCUUGACGCUGAGGCGCGAAAGCUAGGGGAGCAAACGGG
rnacentral:rRNA from 1 species